rnacentral:rRNA from 1 species
CCCUUAGAUGUUCUGGGCCGCACGCGCGCUACACUGAUACGUUCAGCGAGUAUAUAACCUUGAUUGGAAAAUCUGGGUAAUCUUUUGAAUGCGUAUCGUGCUAGGGAUAGAUUAUUGCAAUUAUUAAUCUUGAACGAGGAAUUCCUAGUAAACGCAAGUCAUCAGCUUGCAUUGAUUACGUCCCUGCCCUUUGUACACACCGCCUGUCGCACAAACCGAUUGAAUGAUUCGGUGAAAAUUUUGGACAUCGAGAGUGGUGAUUAAUUUCGCUGCUCUUAAAUGGAAAGAAUUUAAACCUAAUUAUUUAGAGGAUGGUGAAGUCAUAACA